UACGGAGGGGCUAGCGUUGUUCGGAAUUACUGGGCGUAAAGCGCACGUAGGCGGCUUUGCAAGUUAGAGGUGAAAGCCCGGGGCUCAACUCCGGAAUUGCCUUUAAAACUGCAUCGCUAGAAUUGUGGAGAGGUAAGUGGAAUUCCGAGUGUAGAGGUGAAAUUCGUAGAUAUUCGGAAGAACACCAGUGGCGAAGGCGACUACUGGACACAUAUUGACGCUGAGGUGCGAAAGCGUGGGAG
rnacentral:rRNA from 1 species